CAUGCAAGUCGAACGGAAAUCUUUUAGAUUUUAGUGGCGAACGGGUGAGUAACACGUAAGCAACCUGCCUUUAAGACGAGAAUAACAAUUGGAAACAGUUGCUAAGGCUGGAUAGGAAAUAAAAAGGAAUCUUUUUAUCUUUAAAAGACCUUUUUCGGAAGGUAUGCUUAAAGAGGGGCUUGCGUCACAUUAGUUAGUUGGUAGGGUAAAGGCCUACCAAGACGAUGAUGUGUAGCUGGACUGAGAGGUUGAACAGCCACAUUGGGACUGAGACACGGCCCAAACUCCUACGGGAGGCAGCAGUAGGGAAUUUUCGGCAAUGGAGGAAACUCUGACCGAGCAACGCCGCGUGUACGACGAAGUACUUCGGUAUGUAAAGUUCUUUUAUUGAAGAAGAAACAAUAGUGGAAAAACUAUCUUGACGUUAUUCAAUGAAUAAGCCCCGGCUAACUAUGUGCCAGCAGCCGCGGUAAUACAUAGGGGGCGAGCGUUAUCCGGAAUUAUGGGGCGUAAAGGGUGCGUAGGCGGUUUAAUAAGUCUCUAGUUUAAUUUCAACGCUUAACGUUGUCCUGCUAGAGAAACUGUUUAACUAGAGUGAGAUAGAGGUAAGCGGAAUUCCAUGUGUAGCGGUAAAAUGUGUAAAUAUAUGGAGGAACACCAGAGGCGUAGGCGGCUUACUGGGUCUUUACUGACGCUGAUGCACGAAAGCGUGGGGAGCAAACAGGAUUAGAUACCCUGGUAGUCCACGCCGUAAACUAUGAGUACUAAGUGUCGGGGUUAAACUCGGUACUGAAGUUAACACAUUAAGUACUCCGCCUGAGUAGUACGUACGCAAGUAUGAAACUUAAAGGAAUUGACGGGAUCCCGCACAAGCGGUGGAUCAUGUUGUUUAAUUCGAAGAUACACGAAAAACCUUACCAGGUCUUGACAUACUCUGCAAAGCUAUAGAAAUAUAGUGGAGGUUAUCAGGGAUACAGGUGGUGCAUGGUUGUCGUCAGCUCGUGUCGUGAGAUGUUAGGUUAAGUUCUAAAACGAGCGCAACCCCUGUCGUUAAUUGCCAGCACGUUAUGGUGGGGACUUUAGCGAGACUGCCAAUGAAAAAUUGGAGGAAGGUGGGGAUUACGUCAAAUCAUCAUGCCCCUUAUGAUCUGGGCUACAAACGUGAUACAAUGGCUAUUACAAAGAGUAGCUGAAACGCGAGUUUUCGGCAAAUCUCAAAAAAAUAGUCUCAGUUCGGAUUGAAGUCUGCAACUCGACUUCAUGAAGUUGGAAUCGCUAGUAAUCGCGAAUCAGCAUGUCGCGGUGAAUACGUUCUCGGGGUUUGUACACACCGCCCGUCAAACCACGAAAGUGGACAAUACCCGAAAGCGACAGCCUAACUGCGUAAGC
rnacentral:rRNA from 1 species